AUUGAACGCUGGCGGCAUGCCUAACACAUGCAAGUCGAACGGCAGCACGGUCUAGCUUGCUAGAUGGGUGGCGAGCGGCGCACGGGUGAGUAACGCGUAGGAAUAUGCCUUGAAGUGGGGGAUAACUUGGGGAAACUCAAGCUAAUACCGCAUAAGCUCUUAGGAGGAAAGCUGGGGACCGUAAGGCCUGGCGCUUCAAGAUUAGCCUGCGUCCGAUUAGCUAGUUGGUGGGGUAAGGGCCUACCAAGGCGACGAUCGGUAGCUGGUCUGAGAGGAGGGCCAGCCACACUGGGACUGGGACACGGCCCAGACUCCUACGGGAGGCAGCAGUGGGGAAUAUUGGGCAAUGGGGGCAACCCUGAUCCAGCAAUGCCGCGUGUGUGAAGAAGGCCUGAGGGUUGUAAAGCACUUUCAGUGGGGAGGAGGAUUGACAGGUUAAGAGCUAGUUAAUUGGACGUUACCCACAGAAGAAGCACCGGCUAACUCCGUGCCAGCAGCCGCAGUAA
rnacentral:rRNA from 1 species